rnacentral:rRNA from 1 species
GAUGAACGCUGGCGGCGUGCUUAACACAUGCAAGUCGAACGAUUAACCCAUCUUCGGAUGGUUAUAAAGUGGCGAACGGGUGAGUAACACGUGACCAACCUACCUCUUACUUUGGGAUAACUCAGAGAAAUUUGAGCUAAUACCAAAUACUCCUUUUCCUUCGCAUGAAGGAAUCGGGAAAGUUCAGGCGGUAAGAGAUGGGGUCGCGGCCUAUUAGGUAGUUGGUGGGGUAACGGCCUACCAAGCCCAUGAUAGGUAGCCGGGUUGAGAGACUGAUCGGCCACAUUGGGACUGAGAUACGGCCCAGACUCCUACGGGAGGCAGCAGUGGGGAAUUUUGCGCAAUGGGGGAAACCCUGACGCAGCAACGCCGCGUGCGGGAUGAAGGCCUUCGGGUUGUAAACCGCUUUCAGCAGGGAAGAAACUUGACGGUACCUGCAGAAGAAGCUCCGGCUAACUACGUGCCAGCCGCCGCCGUAACAC